rnacentral:rRNA from 1 species
AGAUUGAACGCUGGCGGCAGGCCUAACACAUGCAAGUCGAGCGGUAGAGAGGUGCUUGCAUCUCUUGAGAGCGGCGGACGGGUGAGUAAUGCCUAGGAAUCUGCCUAGUGGUGGGGGAUAACGUUCGGAAACGGACGCUAAUACCGCAUACGUCCUACGGGAGAAAGCGGGGGACCUUCGGGCCUCGCGCCAUUAGAUGAGCCUAGGUCGGAUUAGCUAGUUGGUGAGGUAAUGGCUCACCAAGGCGACGAUCCGUAACUGGUCUGAGAGGAUGAUCAGUCACACUGGAACUGAGACACGGUCCAGACUCCUACGGGAGCAGCAGGUGGGG